CAGUAGCCGCGGUAAUACGGAGGGUGCAAGCGUUAAUCGGAAUUACUGGGCGUAAAGCGCACGCAGGCGGUCUGACAAGUCAGAUGUGAAAUCCCCGGGCUUAACCUGGGAACUGCAUUUGAAACUGUCAGGCUGGAGUCUUGUAGAGGGGGGUGGAAUUCCAGGUGUAGCGGUGAAAUGCGUAGAGAUCUGGAGGAAUACCGGUGGCGAAGGCGGCCCCCUGGACAAAGACUGACGCUCAGGUGCGAAAGCGUGGGGAGCAAACAGGAUUAGAUACCCAGUAGUCCCUGUCUCUUAUACA
rnacentral:rRNA from 1 species